GUGUGCUGAUGGUCUAAAAGGCCAAGACGGCAGCCUUCAUCUGCCCUCGGGCCUCUUAGAGCUGCAAAUGUUCGUUCGAAUCGAACCAGCGCACG
rnacentral:tRNA from 1 species